GGCGGGUGUAGCCAAGAGGUUAAGGCAAUGGAUUGUGGCUCCAUCAUUCGCGGGUUCGAGUCCCGUCAUUCGCCCUUC
rnacentral:tRNA from 13 species